rnacentral:sRNA from 1 species
UCAACGUCCUCGACAGGGCUCGGCGCCUU